GCCACCAUGUGAGAUGUGCCUUUUACCAUCCACCAUGAUAGUGAGGCCUCCUCAGCCACGUGGAACUGUGGAAAUCCUAUUCUAGCAUUAAUUUUGAUGAUAAUACACCUACCUCUGAAUUUACUAAAAACAUUGCAUUGAACACUUCAAAUGGUUGAAUUGUAUGGAGGAACAUUUGCUCUUGAUGAACAGUCUCACUGCUCCUCCUGGACGUGACCUGUUGACUCCCGCAGCUGUCCCCAUUGGUGCUUUCUGUCUUACAUUUAUUGCGGAUACUCACUUUGUAAAUCUUCACGUCCAAUUUCUAAGAUGUUAUUUCUGUUCUGUUUUGUUCCAACUCAACUAUAUUUUCAUUUCUUGGUAACGUGCCAAUCAUAUAGUUACUUGAUUAAGGUACUGGAUCAAUUUGUUCAAUAUCUCAGUCCUCAUGUACAGCUUACUGAAGAGUGUGAGGGACAGAAUUGGAGUUCCCUUGUAACGUGAGGGUGGUCGGGGAAUAGGAGGUCCAUAGAUUCUAAUACAUACAUAUCAAGUGUUAUCUCUACCCAUUAAACUAGGAAUUUCAUGUGCAUUUACUUUUAUUGAUAUUCUUAGGCACUAUUGAAAGAGCUUAUAUAACGUUUUUAAGGUAUUAUAAAGUAUAAAGAAUAUAUUAUCAAAUCAUAUUUGUUAUUUUCCAAAUCUUCAACUUUAGGUUUUAAGCUAAAAAUAAAUUAUAAAAUUGGUUAGGAGAAAAAAAAUUCUAAUUUGUUUGUUCCAACAUUGGAAAGUUACUAAAAAUUAUUAAAUAGUUCCUUAUCUGGCUGCAUAAAAUAAGAUUUUCUUGCUAGUUCAGGAAAUGGUAAUGAAUGUAUAAUACUUUAGUUGGUUUGAACCCAUACAUAUCAUUGCGUAGUUAUUUUCUCUUUGGCUAAAUUUACUCAAUUUUAUUCAUUCAUUUAGUUAUUCAUUUAUUCAAUCAGUCAGUUCAUAAAUGACUAUUAAGUUUUGAAUAUGUGCAAAGCACUCUGAUACGUGUGAAUAGAUCAAGGCCGCUGUGCUUGAGCUUGAGGGAUGAAUAAUUAGUGAAAGCAAUGUGGUAAAUUCUAAGAUAGAAUUUUGCAUUAAGUAAAAGAAAGAAGGACUUGUCAUUUUCUCAGGCAUCCAGUAAGAUUCCACAGUGCAAUUUCCAAAAAUGCAAGUUAGUUCAGUGUGGUCGUUGAUUCUGAUGUCAACUCGACUGGAUUAAGGGAUACACAGAUAACUGGUAAAAUAUCAUUUAUUCUCAAUUAUUGCAAUAGUUAUUCUAAAUGUUUCAGCAGGCAGUGAGCCUGUUCAUCAUUUGCUGAAAGGGAAACUUUGUUGGUUUGGCAUUUGAUUAGAAUGAUUAAACUGCCCUGGGCGUGUCUGUGAAGAUAUUUCUGGAGGUGAUCUCAGUGGGGAAGCUAGUAGUCUGAGUGGAGAAGAACUGCUCUCAAUGUGGGCUGGUGCCAUGUGAUUGGAUGGGAACCUGGAUGGAACAAAAAAAAAAAAAAGAAGGAAGAGUGAAUUCUUUUUUACUGAUACACUGAUAAACAACAGUUGCACAUAUUUAUGGAGUACACGUAAUAUUUUAAUACAAGCAUAUAAUGUGUAAUGAUCAAAUCAGGGUAAUUGGGGUAUCCAUCACCUCAAGCAUUUAUCAUUUCUUUGAAUUUGGAACAUUCUAAUUCCAUUCCUCUACUUAUUUUGAAAUAUAUAAUAAAUCGUUGAUGACUGUAGUCACUCUGUUGUGCUACUAACUGUAUUUUCAUGCCUGUUAACAAUCGCUCUAUAUUGUCUCCACCUCCUCACUACCCUUCCCAGGCUCUUGUAACCAUCACUCUAAGCUCUGUCUCCAUGAGAUAAAGUUAUUUAGCUCACACAAGUGAACGAAAACAUGUGACAUUUGUCUUUCUGUGCCUGGCUUAUUUCACUUAACAUAAUGUCCUCCAGUUCCUCAAUGUUGUUGCAAAUGACAGAUUUUCUUAACUUUUAUGGCUGAAUAUUAUUCCUUUGUGUAUAUAUACUACAUUCUCUUUAUCCAUUCGUCUGUUGAUGGACGCUUAAGUUGAUCCCAUAUCCUGGCUAUUGUGAAUAGUGCUGAAAUAAACAGAGGAGGGCAGAUUUUUUUUGAUAUACCAAUUUUCUUUGUUUUGGGUAUAUGCCCAGCAGUGGGAUUGCUGGGUUAUAUACUAGUUCUAUUUUUAGUUUUUUGAGGAACGUCCAUACUGUCCUUCAUAGUGACUGUACUACUGUGGUGGUACACCAACUAUUUUGUGUUUACGUUCCCACCAACAGCAUCUGAAGUCUCCUCUUCCUCCACAUUCUCACCAGCAUCCAUUAUUGCCUGUCUUUUUGAUAAAAGACAUUUUAAACUGGGGCGAGAUGACAAAAGUUUCUUGAGUAAAACCUCAGAAGCACCAGGCACCCAAAGCAAAAAUGGACAAAUGGGAUUCCAUCAAGCUGAAAAACUUCUGUACAGCAAAUAAUCAACAAAGUGAAGAGACAACCCACAGCAUGGGAGAAGAUAUUUGCAAACUACUCACUUGACAAGGGAAUAAUAGCCAAAAUAUAUAAAGAACAUAAUCACCUUUAUAGCAAGAAAAAUAAUAAUUUGAUUAAAAAUGGCAAAAGAUAUGAAUAGACUUUUCUAAAAAGAAGACAUACAAAUGGCCAACACGUAUAUAAAAAAUGCUAAACAUCUCUAAUCAUCGAAGAAAUCAAAACCACAGUAAGAUAUCACCUCACUCCAGGAAAGUGAACUCUUUUUAUCUUUCUUCUGGAGCCAGAACACCCUUCUUCUCCUAGCCCUUGGAUAUCAGAACCUCAGGUUCUCCAGAUUUUGGAUUCCAGGUCUCUCUCCAGGGACCAACUGCUCCCAACCCAGCUCCACUCUCUCAAGCCUUCAGCCUUUAAUUCCAUCUGCUCCCUUAGUUCUGAAGCCUUUGGAGUUGGACUCAGCCACACUCCUGGCUUCUUUGUCUCCAGUUUGUAGACGACCUAAUGUGGGACUUCUCAGCUUCCAUCAUGCUAUGGGGCAGUUCCCCUAAUAAAUCCCCUCCUAUAUAUGUCUCUAUGUAUAUAUCCUGUCAACUCUGUUUCUCUGGAGAACCCUGACUACACCAUUCAGUAUAAUCCCAUCUAUAUUGAGUGCAUACCGUUUCUGUCAGACCAUGUUAGGUCUUAAAGACAACACAGGCUCACUGCCUUCCGGGAGCUCACAGAUUAAUAGGGAGACAAAUCUUUGGCCUUCCCUGUGGUACCAUAACUGUGGGAAUGUUAACAAGGCCUAAGCGGAAUACGAAGAAGAAAUAAAUAAAUUGAUAGUUGUCUUCUUGAUGACAGAAAUGUUUUAUUGGACUUUGAGGAUUGAGUGGUUCUCUAAAGUGUCAUGGCAAUUUUGUAGCAUAAUCCAGUCAAAGGGAAUAACAUGCAUGAAGGCAUAUCCACAAAGAGGAAUUGACAAACCUUCUGUUUAACAUGAUAGCCAUAGAAAGUGAACAAGAAGAUUCACAAAGGAGGGGACUAGGGAAUUGCACAAGGGAUAUGUAUUAGUCCUUUCUCACGCUGUUAAUAAAGAUGUACCUGAGACUGGGUAAUUUAAAAGGAAAUAGGUUUAAUGGACUCACAGUUCCACAUGGCUGGGGAGGCCUCACAGUCAUGGUGGAAGGUGAACGAGGAGCAAAGUCACAUCUUACAUGGCGGCAGGCAAGAGAGCUUGUGUAGGGGAACUCCCCUUUAUAAAACCAUCAGAUCUCAUGAGACUUACUCACUAUCAUAAGAACAGCACAUGAAAGACCCACCCCCAUGAUUCAGUUACCUCCCACCAGGUCCCUGCCACAACAAGGUGAGACUUGGGCGGGGACACAGCCAAA